CAGUCGCCACGGUAAAACGGAGGGUGCAAGCGUUAAUCGGAAUUACUGGGCGUAAAGCGCACGCAGGCGGUCUGUCAAGUCGGAUGUGAAAUCCCUGAGCUUAACUUAGGAAUUGCAUUCGAUACUGGGAAGCUAGAGUAUGGGAGAGGAUGGUAGAAUUCCAGGUGUAGCGGUGAAAUGCGUAGAGAUCUGGAGGAAUACCGAUGGCGAAGGCAGCCAUCUGGCCUAAUACUGACGCUGAGGUACGAAAGCAUGGGGAGCAAACAGGAUUAGAUACCCGAGUAGUCCCUGUCUCUUAUAC
rnacentral:rRNA from 1 species